GACAGAGGUGCCAAGCGUUAGGCGGAAUCACUGGGCUUAAAGCGUGUGUAGGCGGGUCGUUAAGUACCUUGUGAAAUCCCACGGCUCAACCGUGGAACUGCUCGGUAUACUGGCGAUCUUGGGCCACUUAGGGGCUAGCGGAACAAACGGUGGAGCGGUGAAAUGCGUAGAGAUCGGCAGGAACACCCAGGGGGAAACCAGUCGACUGGGCAGCACCUGACGCUGAGGUGCGAGAGCGUGGGGAGCGAACCGG
rnacentral:rRNA from 1 species